rnacentral:rRNA from 1 species
CCUACGGGUGGCAGCAGUGGGGAAUUUUGCGCAAUGGGCGAAACCCUGAUGCAGCAACGCCGCGUGAGUGAUUAAGCCCUUCGGUGUGUAAAGCUCUGUCAGCAGGGAAGAAAAUGACGGUAACUGAGAAAGAAGCCACGGCGAACUUCGUGCCAGCCGCCGCGGUAAGACGUGGGGGGCAAGCGUUAUCCGGAGUUAAUUGGUGUAAAGGGGGCGUAGACGGCAGUGCAAGUCUGGAGUGAAAGGCCGGGGCUCAACCCCCGGACGGCUCUGGAAACUGUACGGCUGGAGUGCAGGAGAGGUAAGGGGAAUUCCUAGUGUAGCGGUGAAAUGCGUAGAUAUUAGGAGGAACACCAGUGGCGAAGGCGGCUUACUGGACUGUAACUGACGUUGAGGCACGAAAGCGUGGGGAGCAAACAGGAUUAGAUACCCGAGUAGUC